rnacentral:lncRNA from 1 species
CUUCUGGUCCGGUGGGGGUGUUCCGUCUCUCCGUUCCGGUUCAUCCUCGUCUGCGUCCACGGUAGGGAAAGAGCGACAGGGAGCAUCGGCAGACCCCGGCAUGUCGGCCGGGGACGGCAUGGGGGCAGAGCACUCGCUGAAGACACAGUAUCCCAGAUCCUCGGGCCCUCCCUGCCCCCCCUGCCCCGCGUCCAGAGCCAGCCGGGCCAGCGAGCUAACCCCCAGAGGAGACACGUUGGCCGGGACAGACUUCCUCCUCAUCGGAUCCACCACCCUCCUGCCCAGGGACAGUUUGGGCAGGGCUCCCGCCAGGUCCAGCAUCUCAGCCAGAGUGCCGGAUUGGUCCAAAGAGACGUGGCGCUCCAUGGAGGCCAUCUUGCUGAGGGCUUCGGUGAAGUCGGCGGGCGUGGACGGAGCGGGUGUAGCAGAGGGGUGGUGCUCGAUGGAGGAUGUUGGAGGAGGAGGAGGAGGAGGAGGAGAAGCCGUUCUGUCCGUUCUGCCGUCCGUCCGACGCCCAGUGAUCGUCCGCCAUCGCUGACCGGGCUCUAACGAGAGGAGAGGCUAACGAGGGCAGCACACCUGGACAGGUAGAGGGCGAGAGAGAGAGAGAGAGAGAGGAAGGGGGAGAGACAGAGACAGAGACAGAGACAGAGAGAGAGAGAGACGUAGAGAGAGAGAGCAGGUGAGGGUAUUCGAGAGGGGAGAAGGGAGAGAGAGAGAGAGAGAGAGAGAGAGAGAGAGAGAGAGAGAGAGAGAGAGAGAGAGAGAGAGAGAGAGAGAGAGAGAGAGAGAGAGAGAGAGAGAGAGAGCGGGUGAGGGUAUUCGAGAGGGGAGAAGGGAGAGAGAGAGCGGGAGAGAGGAGGGGGGGGAGUUCAAUCUCACAUCAAAAUCAUUCAUUUGUGCAAAGGUUAGAAUAACAUAACACCUGUAUGAAAAAAGACUUGUUUACAACAGCGGGUGUGAACACAAACAAGCCAGCGUCACAUGAGGAGAAGAGAAUCUCCGUUGUCAGAUAUUUAAAUGGAGAAAGAACCCAGACUGUGUGGACAAAGGAGCUCUUUCCUCGCGGCGCCACAAUGCAGAUGGAGUCCCACCGGCGGCCAGCAGGGGGCGCGGCGCACCGCGGCGCACCGCGGCGCUACGGUCUUUGUCUGCACCGGCGAGCGGAGAUUCACU